rnacentral:rRNA from 2 species
AACUUUCAGCAACGGAUCUCUUGGCUCUCGCAUCGAUGAAGAACGCAGCGAAAUGCGAUAAGUAAUGUGAAUUGCAGAAUUCAGUGAAUCAUCGAAUCUUUGAACGCACCUUGCGCCCUUUGGACAUUCUGAAGGGCAUGCCUGUUUGAGUAUCA